rnacentral:rRNA from 1 species
UACGUAGGGGGCAAGCGUUGUCCGGAUUUACUGGGCGUAAAGAGCGCGCAGGCGGUCGUUCAAGUCGCGUGUGAAAGCCCCCGGCUCAACUGGGGAGGGUCACGCGAUACUGAUCGACUCGAAGGCAGGAGAGGGUAGUGGAAUUCCCGGUGUAGUGGUGAAAUGCGUAGAUAUCUGGAGGAACAUCGGUGGCGAAGGCGGCAUCCUGGACCGAUAUUGACGCUGAGGCGCGAAAGCCAGGGGAGCAAACGGG